rnacentral:rRNA from 1 species
UGUCCCUAUCUACUAUCUAGCGAAACCACAGCCAAGGGA